UUAACUCAAAUUUGUAUGGAGUCGGAACGUUGGCCUUCGUUUGCCGCUAGGGGCGCUGUUCCAACUGCAUACAAGCUUGUACUC
rfam:Bombyx mori DNA, contig: Bm_scaf99_contig35834, strain: p50T/Dazao, build 2, whole genome shotgun sequence.